rnacentral:rRNA from 1 species
GUCUAUGGCCAUACCACCCUGAAUGCGCCCUAUCUCAACUGAUCUUGGAAGCUAAGCAGGGUUGGGUCUGGUUAGUACUUGGAUGGGAGA